AGACAGUCAAAAUUUCCAUUAAGUGUCUGAGAAGCAAGACUGGCACCUUAAUCUAUGUCCCUGGGGUCACCUUGCCUUUGCCAAAUGAUUCAGUUUUUUCGAGAACGUACAGUCAGCUCUCUGUAUCUGUGGGCUCCACAUCCAUGGAUUCAACCAAUUGUGAAUUUAAACCACUUGAAAAUAAACUGCAUCUGUACUGAACAUA